CAGUAUGGCCAUAUCACACUAAACGCACCCGGUCUUGUCUGAUCUUGGACACUAAGCAGGGUCGGGCCUGGUUAGUACUUGAAUGGGAGACACUUUGA
rnacentral:rRNA from 1 species